GCCCCGUUCGUCUAGCGGCCUAGGACGAUACCUUCUCAAGGUAUAGAUCGCCGGUUCGAAUCCGGCACGGGGUA
rnacentral:tRNA from 1 species